AUGAUGACUGCAAUCUAUGGAGUCGCUGCAAAUCAUGAUCCUGGGUCAUCGGUUGCCAACAAUUUGGCUGUGGGCCGCUCGGAGGAGUUGACCCUAUUGUACCUGGACCCACCCCUCAGGCAUGGCACCCCUACUGCCUCGCAGCUGGCGCCUACCGUGGAUGGCCACGCGGAGACCCAGACUGUCCUUUGCUCCAAGCUGACCACUGCCUCCAUGCCUAUCGCUGGUGCUUCCCUUGCCCUUGGUAAUGGGCCUACGAAUGGCAUGGGCCAGAUGGGUCCAGGGGAAAGCCGAGUGCUUGGCCCAUGUUUCGCUCCCACGACGAGCCAUGGCUGCCCAUCACUGCUUCGGAAAGAGUCGGAGGACGAUGCGCUGACCAAGCAGAUUGGCGACACGGACCCAUUCUCAACUCCUGGGAGCUGCGUGGUGGAGGAUGCCAUCCAAGAUUUCAUCAGCCGUGUGACACAGCCUCCUCCACAACCUUUGUUGGCCAAUCCAAGACCACCAACUCGCUGGCCGCGUAAGGCGGCCCGUCCACCGGCGACGGCCACAAGGAGGAGCAACCGCCUCCAUGGCAAGAAGCUGUUGUUCGCUGAAGGUAGCACAGUGAUGAAACAGGCCAGGCUUCUCGUGAUGUCCAAGAGAGGCUUGGCAAUCCCGGAGCGAGAUGAAGUAGAAGAAAGUAGGAUUGAGCGCUAUGCCAAGGCCUUUGACGAGCCACUGUCACCACAGCAAAUCAAGGCUCUUUAG
rnacentral:rRNA from 1 species